GAUGAACGCUGGCGGCGUGCCUAACACAUGCAAGUCGAGCGAACAGACGAGGAUCUUGCUGGUCUGCCGUUAGGUGAGGACGGGUGAGUAACACGUGGAUACCGUACCUAUAAUAGUGAGAUCUCCUCGGAACAGCGGAUCUAACACGAUAUAAGAUGUUGCACCGCAGGGUGCAACAGUGAAAGACGGGCUUGCUGGUAGGUAUAGAUGGUUCCGGGCCGCAUUAGCUUGUUGGGAGGGUAACGGGUUACGACGGCAAGGAUGCGUAGCCGACCUGAGAGAGUGAUCGCCGACACUGGAACUGAGACAGGGUCAAGACUCCUGGGGGAGGACGCAGUAGGGAAUCUUACGCAAUGGGGGAAAGCGUGACGGAGCAACGCCGAGUGAGUGAAGAAGGUGUUCGGAUCGUAAAGCUCUGUUAGUAGGGGAGAACAAAUGUGUAAUUAACUGUGCAGGUAUUGACGGUACCGGAUCAAAAAGCCCCGGCUAACUACGUG
rnacentral:rRNA from 1 species